rnacentral:rRNA from 1 species
CUACGGGUUGCUGCAGCGAGGAAUAUUGCACAAUGGGGGGAACCCUGAUGCAGCAACGCCGCGUGGAGGAUGACGCAUUUCGGUGUGUAAACUCCUUUUAUAUGUCAAGAAAAUGACGGUAGCAUAUGAAUAAGCACCGGCUAACUCCGUGCCAGCAGCCGCGGUAAUACGGAGGGUGCAAGCGUUACUCGGAAUCACUGGGCGUAAAGGACGCGUAGGCGGGUUGGAAAGUCAGGUGUGAAAUCCUACAGCUUAACUGUAGAACUGCACUUGAAACUUCUAAUCUAGAGUAUGGGAGGGGGAGAUGGAAUUAGUGGUGUAGGGGUAAAAUCCGUAGAUAUCACUAGGAAUACCUAAAGCGAAGGCGAUCUCCUGGAACAUUACUGACGCUAAGGCGUGAAAGCGUGGGGAGCAAACAGGAUUAGAUACCCGUGUAGUC